rfam:Caldanaerobius fijiensis DSM 17918 genome assembly, contig: EJ21DRAFT_scaffold00005.5
GUUGUCCUUCAGGGCAGGGUGAAAUUCCCGACCGGCGGUAUGCAAUACGGUUGUAUUGCGAGCCCGCGAGCCACCAUAGGUGGUAGAUCUGGUGAGAGGCCAGAGCCGACAGUAAAGUCUGGAUGGGAGAAGGAAGAU